UGGUCAUCAUCAUUGGCAUCCAUGUUUAUCUUGUCAAGUAACUCCUUUUUGGGGGUGUCAAAGCCUACAAGCUUUGCUUCGUCGAUGUUGCUACGAGAAUGAUUCCGAACAUCCUCCAUGGACUCGAUCUCAUCGAAGCUAUUCGGUGGCGAUCUUUGAGAUUUGUCAAUUGCUGCAAGAGGCUUUGGUUUCCGACAUGGACCAUAAACUCUUCAAGACAAUCUUCAAUGUCGUAGGACAAGCUCCUUACUUGCUCAGCCCACACCUUCAACAGCAGGUCCUUCUUCUUCAUUGUUUCAGCAGCUAUUAGGAACGCUUGCAUUGUUUUUAGCUCAUCAUUCAUGAACCUGCCAAAAAAAAAAACAGUGGUAAAACAAAAUUUAGCACUCUUGAGUAUAUGGAAUUCCGAAUAACUGAUUUUGCUCUGGAAGUCUAAAUUCUUGUUUUAUUAAUUCAGAUUAGAAGAAUUAUUAAAGGUAUUGUGACUCAGCGUAUUUUUCUACCUCUACAUGCCUAGGUCCUAUAUAUGCAUGUAAAAAUAUCUCAAAAAGAUGAUGUUUGAAAUUUUAAGAGUACAAACUUCAAACGAAUUUUCUCAAAUCAUGGAGCAAUGACAACGGAGAUGACAAAACAUGCCAUGUACAUCAGGGAGUAUAUUUCCCAUUGAUACCCUUACCAUGUGGACUCAUAUCACAUCUCUUUAAUUAUAACAAAUAAAGUAGAAUGAGAUCUAAAUGGAUUGCUCA